CUGAAAGGGCCUAAAAUGGGGCUGGGAGGGGGGGGUCUGAGAGGCCCUAAAAUGGGGCUCUGGGGGGGGAUGCAGUGCUUGCAGGUGCUGAGGUGGCCCUGGGGACGCUUUGAGCGGUGCUACGAAGCGUUGGGUUUUGGGGCCUUCUUGGAUGAACCGUUUGCUUCUUCAAGUCCACCUUUAAAAAAGAAACUUCUGUUUUCGUUUCUUUCAGCCCCGAAAGCGCCGUCCUCUGUCACAGGAUCGGAACUGUGGGACAGCAGUAGGGAAGGGGCAGCGUUUGGGCCCAGCGCUGACCCCAUCACUUCAAGGAGAGCCUCGGCCUUCCACUUCCCCAAAAUUUGGGAUGGAAAAAAAGGGGAAAUGGGGCAAAAGGAGGAAGCUGAAGGCCGUUCACCUUCUGGCUGCGUUUGCUUUUUCCCGGCGCCUCGGUCCGCUGUGAGAUUUGGCCGGAAUUGGUCAAAAGUGAAUUUCCUCGUGAAUUCCAGCCUUUUCGUUUUCGGUGCUGGAUGAGAACCGUGCAGGAAACGGGAGGAUGUCCAGAAGGAAGGAAAGGAACGCCUUCCAAACGUGGCUUUUCACGACGCUGAGUGAUAAACACGAGGAGUUCCGACCCAACCCUACAACAGAACCCGCCCUCAUACAGAAGAAAUGCUGAGUUUGGGUGCGCGCUUCUGAGAAUUUUGGUGUGAAACCUCCAAGAAAAAAAAAACAAAACAAAACCCCACCAACUUCAGGGAAGUGUUGGCUUCGCUCGUGGAGAGCAGUGUGUAUUUUAGCUAUUUCUCCUAAAAACCAACAAAGGAGGGGCUGCGGCACGUGGCCGGAGGCUGAACGAGUGCGUCAGUCAGCCGCUGUGAAAGUGUAUGAGUGUGCACAUUCCUUGUUGGGUUGCAGGGUUUUUUGGUGUGGCGGUUGGUUUUGUGGGUUGUUUUUUUUUUAUCCUUCUUUUCUUUUUUUUGUUUUUCUUUUUUAUCUGGAAAUCAGAAUGGUGUAACGUGAACAUUCACUUCCCCCGGAAGAGUUGACGUGUUUUCCCAACCUCAUAAAUCGGAGAGGUUUUGGGAAAGGAGGAUCAGAGAUGGCACUGAACGGAGGUGCUGAUGGCGCCUGUGAGAACUGGGAGCUCACCAAGGACAUGCUGCUGGAGGAGCAGAGCCCGAGGAAAUCGCCCAAAAGAGCGGUGCUGUCGCUCCUGCCCUCGUCCCCACCAAGAGCCGUUGUGCUGCUGGCCCUGCUCCUGGCCCUCAGCUUUGUGUUCCUCAUGAUUCUUAUCCUUGUGAACAUCCAAAGAGGUGAGAUAAGCACCGUGCUCGCGUUCCCACCACCGC
rnacentral:lncRNA from 1 species